UGGAUUUCUGCCAAUGCCAUCACGGGU
rnacentral:piRNA from 1 species